UUUAGUAUGUCAUUGUGAUUGCUUUUAAGAUAGGCAAUAAACUCAUAACCUUUAGAAAAAGGAGCAUCUGUAAAUUCAGAUUUCACUAUUUCAGAGUCAGCCAGACCAUGAUUGAGCUUAAGGAUUGUGCUGCGGAUGCGGCCUGUGCAGUUCCGGGAGAAAGUCACUGUCUUGGGCAUUGCGGUCUGGUAUCAGGUCUGGAUGAUCCUUGCCUGACUCCGGGUUUGUGUACACCUCAAUCCGACUCCCUGUCCGGUACCAUGGCCGCAGUGGUGCAGCCCUUGUGGACGAUCCAUCGACAUCCUGAAAGGUCAACACUUCACCAAGCUGGGAAAAUUGAUCCUGAUAGUCAUCCCCAGGUAGUGAAAUGAAUGUACACUGAACUACAGAGGAAUCACACCAAAAUGACUUUUCUGACAUUAGUGUGGCCCCUCGGGCAGGAAUUCCUUAGCAAACAUGCUUUUUUGCAUGGGGACUGUGGCAUUUUUGCAAAACUUAAGCUUUCAACGCUGGAUUUUAAAGAGAACACUUAAUAAAAUGAAGCCAACAGGACUUAUUUUAAUGAGAGAGACUAUCUGGAUGAGCAACAAAUGUCACAUUGUGUCGUAAGCUGUUGAAGGAGCGAUUUGCGCCAUUUCAAGUGUUAAUUUUGGGUAGCAGGCUUGUAUCGGCUUGAAAGCUGCAAAUUAUUCCUCUCAUCAUGAUAGCAUUAAUUAUUUUAAUUGCAAUGUGUAUGUUUAGAUUGUAAGUGAAGCUUUUAAUAAUAAUUUUCUUGAAAAACAUGA